rnacentral:lncRNA from 13 species
AUGCACCACCAUGCCCAGCUAAUUUCUGUAUUUUUCUUUUUUUAUAGAAAAGGGGUUUCACAAUGUUGCUCAGGCUUGUCUCAAACUUCUGGGGGAAAGCAAUCUAUCUGCUUCAGCCUCCCAAAGUGUUGGGAUUACCAGGGAUUGUUCCUUGUUGUGACUAAGAAUGCUGAUGAAGACAACUCUAAAAUGCCAACCUUGAAGUUUCCUUAUCAAAAUUCCACAUAUAGAGGAAUUGACAAAGCUCUUUUAACUAUGACAGAAGAUUCAGAAAUGGCUCCAAGCACUUUGAUUUUUGUUUCUACUCAAAGGAGAUUCAGAAGACGACAAACUUAUAUAAUACACCUGCUCAUAGAGAUGUACUGAUAUCCAUCUAUUCCACGUAAUGAAAAAGACAACAGCUGCACUAUGUGAGCCUGGGUGGAUGAAUUUUUUGAACAGAAAUUUUCUGCUUGAGAUUAUCAGGCUUAUUGAAUCUAUGGCUUAAUAAAUGUAUUUCCUCAUUUUUUCUAAAUUGCUUA